rnacentral:sRNA from 1 species
AUCAACUUUCGAUGGUAGGAUAGAGGCCUACCAUGGUGGUAACGGGUAACGGGGUGUUAGGGCACGACACCGGAGAGGGAGCCUGAGAAACGGCWACCACAUCCAAGGAUGGCAGCAGGCGCGCAAAUUACCCAAUCCCGACACGGGGAGGUAGUGACAAUAAAUAACAAUACGGGGUUCUUUUGGAUUUCGUAAUUGGAAUGAGUACAAUUUAAAUCUCUUAACGAGGAACAAUUGGAGGGCAAGUCUGGUGCCAGCAGCCGCGGUAAUUCCAGCUCCAAUAGCGUAUAUUAAAGUUGUUGCAGUUAAAAAGCYCGUAGUUGAAUUUCGGGGUUAGUAGGUUGGUCGUGCCUUUGGUAUGUACUGGUCUCACUGAUUCCUCCUUCUUGAAGAACUGUAAUGUCAUUAAUUUGGUGUUGCAGGGAAACAGGACUGUUACUUUGAAAAAAUUAGAGUGUUUAAAGCAGGCUAACGCCUGAAUACAUUAGCAUGGAAUAAUGAAAUAGGACGUUUGAUCCUAUUUUGUUGGUUUCUAGGAUUGACGUAAUGAUUAAUAGGGAUAGUUGGGGGCAUUAGUAUUCAAUUGUCAGAGGUGAAAUUCUUGGAUUUAUUGAAGACURACUACUGCGAAAGCAUUUGCCAAGGAUGUUUUCAUUAAUCAAGAACGAAAGUUAGGGGAUCGAAGACGAUCAGWUACCGUCGUAGUCUUAACCAUAAACUAUGCCGACUAGGGAU